GAUGAACGCUGGCGGCGUGCCUAAUACAUGCAAGUCGAGCGAACAGACGAGGAGCUUGCUCCUCUGACGUUAGCGGCGGACGGGUGAGUAACACGUGGAUAACCUACCUAUAAGACUGGGAUAACUUCGGGAAACCGGAGCUAAUACCGGAUAAUAUAUUGAACCGCAUGGUUCAAUAGUGAAAGACGGUUUUGCUGUCACUUAUAGAUGGAUCCGCGCCGCAUUAGCUAGUUGGUAAGGUAACGGCUUACCAAGGCAACGAUGCGUAGCCGACCUGAGAGGGUGAUCGGCCACACGGGAACUGAGACACGGUCCAGACUCCUACGGGAGGCAGCAGUAGGGAAUCUUCCGCAAUGGGCGAAAGCCUGACGGAGCAACGCCGCGUGAGUGAUGAAGGUCUUCGGAUCGUAAAACUCUGUUUUUAGGGAAGAACAAAUGUGUAAGUAACUAUGCACGUCUUGACGGUACCUAGUCAGAAAGCCACGGCUAACUACGUG
rnacentral:rRNA from 1 species